UCGAGAAUUUUUCUCAAUGGGGGAAACCCUGAAGGAGCGACGCCGCGUGGAGGAUGAAGGUCUUCGGAUUGUAAACUCCUGUCAUUUGAGAACAAGUGUUUCCGAGUCACUAUCGGGGACUUGAUAGUAUCAGAAGAGGAAGAGGCGGCUAACUCUGUGCCAGCAGCCGCGGUAAUACAGAGGCCUCAAGCGUUGUUCGGAUUCAUUGGGCGUAAAGGGAGCGUAGGCGGUCGGGUAAGUCGGAUGUGAAAUCCUGGGGCUCAACCUCAGAACUGCAUUCGAUACUGCUUGGCUAGAGGACUGGAGAGGUGAGUGGAAUUCACGGUGUAGCAGUGAAAUGCGUAGAUAUCGUGAGGAAGACCAGCGGCGAAGGCGGCUCACUGGACAGUUUCUGACGCUGAUGCUCGAAGGCCAGGGGAGCAAACGG
rnacentral:rRNA from 1 species